AUACGGAGGGUGCAAGCGUUACUCGGAAUCACUGGGCGUAAAGCGCGCGCAGGCGGGCUGAUAAGUUGGAUGUGAAAGCCUACGGCUCAACCGUAGAACUGCAUCCACAACUGUCAGUCUAGAGUCUGGGAGGGGAAGAUGGAAUUAGUUGUGUAGGGGUAAAAUCCGUAGAGAUAACUAGGAAUACCAAAAGCGAAGGCGAUCUUCUGGAACAGUACUGAUGCUGAGGCGCGAAAGCGUGGGGAGCAAACAGGAUUAGAAACCCCAGUAGUCC
rnacentral:rRNA from 1 species